UUCGACACACUAUCAUUAACUGAAUCCAUAGGUUAAUGAGGCGAACCGGGGGAACUGAAACAUCUAAGUACCCCGAGGAAAAGAAAUCAACCGAGAUUCCCCCAGUAGCGGCGAGCGAACGGGGAGGAGCCCAGAGCCUGAAUCAGUGUGUGUGUUAGUGGAAGCGUCUGGAAAGGCGCGCGAUACAGGGUGACAGCCCCGUACACAAAAAUACACAUAUUGUGAGCUCGAUGAGUAGGGCGGGACACGUGGUAUCCUGUCUGAAUAUGGGGGGACCAUCCUCCAAGGCUAAAUACUCCUGACUGACCGAUAGUGAACCAGUACCGUGAGGGAAAGGCGAAAAGAACCCCGGCGAGGGGAGUGAAAAAGAACCUGAAACCGUGUACGUACAAGCAGUGGGAGCACGCUUAGGCGUGUGACUGCGUACCUUUUGUAUAAUGGGUCAGCGACUUAUAUUCUGUAGCAAGGUUAACCGAAUAGGGGAGCCGAAGGGAAACCGAGUCUUAACUGGGCGUUAAGUUGCAGGGUAUAGACCCGAAACCCGGUGAUCUAGCCAUGGGCAGGUUGAAGGUUGGGUAACACUAACUGGAGGACCGAACCGACUAAUGUUGAAAAAUUAGCGGAUGACUUGUGGCUGGGGGUGAAAGGCCAAUCAAACCGGGAGAUAGCUGGUUCUCCCCGAAAGCUAUUUAGGUAGCGCCUCGUGAAUUCAUCUCCGGGGGUAGAGCACUGUUUCGGCAAGGGGGUCAUCCCGACUUACCAACCCGAUGCAAACUGCGAAUACCGGAGAAUGUUAUCACGGGAGACACACGGCGGGUGCUAACGUCCGUCGUGAAGAGGGAAACAACCCAGACCGCCAGCUAAGGUCCCAAAGUCAUGGUUAAGUGGGAAACGAUGUGGGAAGGCCCAGACAGCCAGGAUGUUGGCUUAGAAGCAGCCAUCAUUUAAAGAAAGCGUAAUAGCUCACUGGUCGAGUCGGCCUGCGCGGAAGAUGUAACGGGGCUAAACCAUGCACCGAAGCUGCGGCAGCGACGCUUAUGCGUUGUUGGGUAGGGGAGCGUUCUGUAAGCCUGCGAAGGUGUGCUGUGAGGCAUGCUGGAGGUAUCAGAAGUGCGAAUGCUGACAUAAGUAACGAUAAAGCGGGUGAAAAGCCCGCUCGCCGGAAGACCAAGGGUUCCUGUCCAACGUUAAUCGGGGCAGGGUGAGUCGACCCCUAAGGCGAGGCCGAAAGGCGUAGUCGAUGGGAAACAGGUUAAUAUUCCUGUACUUGGUGUUACUGCGAAGGGGGGACGGAGAAGGCUAUGUUGGCCGGGCGACGGUUGUCCCGGUUUAAGCGUGUAGGCUGGUUUUCCAGGCAAAUCCGGAAAAUCAAGGCUGAGGCGUGAUGACGAGGCACUACGGUGCUGAAGCAACAAAUGCCCUGCUUCCAGGAAAAGCCUCUAAGCAUCAGGUAACAUCAAAUCGUACCCCAAACCGACACAGGUGGUCAGGUAGAGAAUACCAAGGCGCUUGAGAGAACUCGGGUGAAGGAACUAGGCAAAAUGGUGCCGUAACUUCGGGAGAAGGCACGCUGAUAUGUAGGUGAAGUCCCUUGCGGAUGGAGCUGAAAUCAGUCGAAGAUACCAGCUGGCUGCAACUGUUUAUUAAAAACACAGCACUGUGCAAACACGAAAGUGGACGUAUACGGUGUGACGCCUGCCCGGUGCCGGAAGGUUAAUUGAUGGGGUCAGCGCAAGCGAAGCUCUUGAUCGAAGCCCCGGUAAACGGCGGCCGUAACUAUAACGGUCCUAAGGUAGCGAAAUUCCUUGUCGGGUAAGUUCCGACCUGCACGAAUGGCGUAAUGAUGGCCAGGCUGUCUCCACCCGAGACUCAGUGAAAUUGAACUCGCUGUGAAGAUGCAGUGUACCCGCGGCAAGACGGAAAGACCCCGUGAACCUUUACUAUAGCUUGACACUGAACAUUGAGCCUUGAUGUGUAGGAUAGGUGGGAGGCUUUGAAGUGUGGACGCCAGUCUGCAUGGAGCCGGCCUUGAAAUACCACCCUUUAAUGUUUGAUGUUCUAACGUGGACCCGUGAUCCGGGUUGCGGACAGUGUCUGGUGGGUAGUUUGACUGGGGCGGUCUCCUCCUAAAGAGUAACGGAGGAGCACGAAGGUUGGCUAAUCCUGGUCGGACAUCAGGAGGUUAGUGCAAUGGCAUAAGCCAGCUUGACUGCGAGCGUGACGGCGCGAGCAGGUGCGAAAGCAGGUCAUAGUGAUCCGGUGGUUCUGAAUGGAAGGGCCAUCGCUCAACGGAUAAAAGGUACUCCGGGGAUAACAGGCUGAUACCGCCCAAGAGUUCAUAUCGACGGCGGUGUUUGGCACCUCGAUGUCGGCUCAUCACAUCCUGGGGCUGAAGUAGGUCCCAAGGGUAUGGCUGUUCGCCAUUUAAAGUGGUACGCGAGCUGGGUUUAGAACGUCGUGAGACAGUUCGGUCCCUAUCUGCCGUGGGCGCUGGAGAACUGAGGGGGGCUGCUCCUAGUACGAGAGGACCGGAGUGGACGCAUCACUGGUGUUCGGGUUGUCAUGCCAAUGGCACUGCCCGGUAGCUAAAUGCGGAAGAGAUAAGUGCUGAAAGCAUCUAAGCACGAAACUUGCCCCGAGAUGAGUUCUCCCUGACCCUUUAAGGGUCCUGAAGGAACGUUGAAGACGACGACGUUGAUAGGCCGGGUGUGUAAGCGCAGCGAUGCGUUGAGCUAACCGGUACUAAUGAACCGUGAGG
rnacentral:rRNA from 1 species